rnacentral:lncRNA from 1 species
AUCAAAAUACCGCAUCCCUAGCUUCCUUUUACGGCUUCCCAAACAACAGCAAAUGCUUCUGACAAAGUUAUUCAAAAUUGUUUUAACAAUGCAACUAAGAGGAAAUUGUUAAAAAAUCACUAUACGAACAAAUCAAAGAUGAUGACAGGGUUUCACCUUUGUCUAAGAGGAAAGUAGUCCAAACUCAUCAGUUUUUGCUGCUAACUGCAUUAAAUUAAAUAUAAUAAAAUUACUUGAGAAAUCACAGAUGAAAAUUUGAGGAAAUUUGACAAAUUUAUCUGAAUAUGAGAUUCGAAAGCAUUACCAGAAUCAACAAUAACACAACCAUAAUCUAAACAAGUGAAUUCCACUGACCAUUUCGCCCAAUGCCCCAAUGUACCGUUUCCUGAAAGAUGAAACAGCAAAAUAAAACAACGGAAACAAUCUUGAAAAAGAAGAAGAAGAAGAAGAAAGUGUUGUUUAGGGUUUAUGUGAAUACCUUACGUCCUUAACUCCUUAUCGAAGGUGUUGCUGCGACUGCGAUGGAAGAAGAAGAACCAUCUCGCCCUUUCUCUCUGUCAAACAACUUUCAUCUUUCUCUCUGUCUCAUUAACUUGUGAGCGUUUUGGUUGUUU